rnacentral:rRNA from 1 species
CCUACGGGGGGCUGCAGUGGGGAAUCUUUCACAAUGGGGGCAACCCUGAUGGAGCAACGCCGCGUGCAGGACGAAGGCUUUCGAGUCGUAAACUGCUUUUAUUUAUGAUGAAUUUGACAGUAAUAAAUGAAUAAGGAUCGGCUAACUACGUGCCAGCAGCCGCGGUCAUACGUAGGAUCCAAGCGUUAUUCGGAGUGACUGGGCGUAAAGAGUUGCGUAGGUGGUUUGUUAAGUGGGUGGUGAAAGCUGGUGGCUCAACCAUACAGAUUGUUAUCCAAACUGACAAACUAGAGAGUAGUAGAGGUAACUGGAAUUUCUAGUGUAGGAGUGAAAUCCGUAGAUAUUAGAAGGAACACCAAUGGCGUAGGCAGGUUACUGGGCUAUUUCUGACACUAAGGCACGAAAGCGUGGGGAGCGAACGGGCUUAGAUACCCCAGUAGUC